CGCCCGGCCCACACCCAGAGGCCGCCCCGGAGGCCGCCGCCGGCCGCCAGAUCUGAACAGAAGUGAGAAGAAAGCUUCCACAAUCAUAGCAGAUGAAGAUCCACUGGUAAAUCAAACAGGAUUUUUGGCCUGCCCGCCAAAGAAAAGGUGUCCUUUGAAAGCAUAAAAGUUUAAUAAUUUUGGUGAACUCCACUUCAUCAAUUUGGCUCUGCUUUUUAAGAAAUACUUGGUAAGUUGGAUUCCAGCCUACUAAACAUCCACUUGUGAUUGGUGCUCAGCCACCACUGCCCCCAGAAACCAUUUGGAAAAAUCCUAUUGUAAAAAAAUCCUUUGAAAAAUACUGUUUUCUGAAGUGGAGAGGGGCAAGAAACUGAAAAGCAGCCAAGGUAGAUUUCUUACUAGUAACAGCUUUGUUAUGGUUCACCUUUUCUGUUCCUAAGUUCCUUCACUUUGAGCAGUUUGCAGGGGAGGACAAUGUGGCAGAGAGUGAGGAUCAAGGCCUCUGGGUCCUGCAGAUUUUAUGAUGAUCAAAACAGAGGCUAAUUAGGUUAAAAUGAAAGGUCAGAUAUUUUACCUUGAGUCAUAGAUGGUGCUGUUUCAAAUCAGAAUGUUUGUGGGAAUGUAGUAGUUGUUUCUGGGAGGAAAGGUCUGGGGAUCAUCACAUCAAGAAAGUCGUUUGGAUUAAGGUCUCCCCUUUUAUAUCAGAAAAUAUGUGUUUGGGUUGGGGGUUGAAGACAGG